AAUACAUGCAAGUCGAGCGAUGAGGCUCCUUCGGGAGUACAUCAGCGGCGAACGGGUGAGUAACACGUGGGUGACUUGCCCCGAAGAUGGGGAUAACCUCUGGAAACGGGGGCUAAUACCCAAUGUGCUCGGUGAUUCGGUUCAUCGAGUAAAGCUCCGGCGCUUCGGGAGAGGCCUGCGGCCCAUCAGCUAGUUGGUAGGGUAACGGCCUACCAAGGCAGAGACGGGUAGGGGGCGUGAGAGCGCGGACCCCCACACUGGCACUGAGAUACGGGCCAGACUCCUACGGGAGGCAGCAGUAAGGGAUAUUGCGCAAUGGACGAAAGUCAGACGCAGCGACGCCGCGUGGGCGAUGAAGGCCUUCGGGUUGUAAAGCCCUUUUAUGGGGGAAGAGAAAAAGGACGGUACCCCAGGAAUAAGUCCCGGCUAACUACGUGCCAGCAGCCGCGGUAAAACGUAUGGGACAAGCGUUAUCCGGAUUCACUGGGCGUAAAGAGCGUUGAGGCGGUUCCGUAAGUUGGGCGUGAAAGCUCCGGGCUUAACUCGGAGAUGUCGUUCAAUACUGCGGGGCUUGAGGACAGCAGAGGAAGGUGGAAUUCCCGGUGUAGUGGUGAAAUGCGUAGAUAUCGGGAGGAACACCCGUGGCGAAGGCGGCCUUCUGGGCUGUUCCUGACGCUGAAGGCGAAAGCUAGGGGAGCGAACGGGAUUAGAUACCCCGGUAGUCCUAGCUGUAAACGAUGGAUGCUGGGUGUGGGGGGUGUAAAUUCCCUCUGUGCCGAAGCAAACGCGUUAAGCAUCCCGCCUGGGGACUACGGCCGCAAGGCUAAAACUCAAACGAAUUGACGGGGGCCCGCACAAGCAGCGGAGCGUGUGGUUUAAUUCGAUGCUACACGAAGAACCUUACCUGGGUUUGACAUGCACGUGGUAGGGAACCGAAAGGGGACCGACCUUCGGGAGCGUGCACAGGUGCUGCAUGGCUGUCGUCAGCUCGUGCCGUGAGGUGUCGGGUUAAGUCCCGUAACGAGCGCAACCCUUGCCCUUAGUUACAAGUGUCUAAGGGGACUGCCCGGGACAACUGGGAGGAAGGUGGGGAUGACGUCAAGUCAGCAUGGCCUUUAUAUCCAGGGCUACACACACGCUACAAUGGCCGGUACAAUAGGUUGCGAAG
rnacentral:rRNA from 1 species